rnacentral:tRNA from 1 species
GUUCCUGUCGUCCAAUGGAGAAGAUCUCCGGCUUUCACCCGGAAGAUGCAGGGUUCGAUUCCCGCCAGGAACU